rnacentral:lncRNA from 1 species
UGCGCCUGCGUAGCCGGCGGGCUGGCAGUGAGACUGACUGCGUCGGGGUUGAGACUGGGUGGAUGAGGCUCACCCCGGCGGGGAGAAGGGACGAGGAGGGGCGGACAGCGGAAGGUCCGGGAGUGUCCGCCAUUGCGUAAUUGUGAGUCUGUGAGAGAAGAUGUGAAGUAUGGCCUCGUCCCGGUCAUCUGGGCGUGCGGGUCCCGGGUUUUGAUCGCGCGUUUGUGUAGUUUUAACUUCUAGUCAUGGUGAAUGAUCCCAGGAGAGCACAGACUGGACCCUGCUACGAUCUCUCUUGGAGUGGAUCAGACUGAUGAUCACCAACAACCAACUCAUUCCCGGAUAAGGAAGAAGAGAGUGUCACCUACUUCAGUGUGGUUUCAACCCUACUUCUGCAUCUUAAAGACACUGUAUUGUUUCAGCAGUAGUGCCCCUGUUCAUUAGUCCCCCUGAUGUUUUCAUUCCUCAUCUCAUCUUUUCCUUAGCAGCAUUCAAUGAAUCCUUCAUUCUAGAAACACUCUAUAUCUUUGGUUUUCAUGAGACCAUUCUCACCUUGUUUUGUCCUAUGACUUUUUUGAAAAAAACAAAAACAAAAAACCCUUUUUUUCUUUUUAAAUUCUGGUAAAAAACACAGUGAAAAUUUGCUAUCUUAACCAUGUUGAAAUGUGCAGUUAGUAAAGUACAUUCACAUUGUGGUGCAAGCCAUCACUACCAUCCAUCACUAGAACCCUUUUCAUCUUGCAGAUCUGAAACUCUACCCAUUAAACAACUUCCCAUCUUCCCAUCCCCACAGCUCCUAGCAACCAACAUUCUACUUUCUCUAUCAGUUUGACUACUCUAGGUACCUCAUAUGAGUAGAAUCAUACAGCAUUUAUCCUUCUUUGCCUGGCUUAUUUCACUUGUAUAAUGUCCUCAAGGUUCAUCCAUGUUGUAGCAUGCAUCAGAACUUCCUCCCCUUUUAAAGGCUGGAUAAUAUUUCAUGGUAUGUUUAGACCACAUUCUGUUUAUCCAUUCAUCCAUCAGUGAACACUUGUGCUCCUUCCAACUUUGGGCUGUUGGGUGUCCUGCCACUGUUGCUCCUAGUGCUCAAUCUCGUUUACUCCCUCCUAAUCAAGUGUACAACGUUGGACACUGUGCAGGAUGAUGCCACUUCAUCUUGGAUGCUAAUCUGCCAUGUUGACUUCUGAUUAACCCCAGGCCCAGGAAUGCCUCAAGAUUUCUACUUUACUUACUGUUGCUUGUGUAAUCCAAGACAACCUUGAUGUUAUCAUAAACAUGUACUUACCUAAGUCCUGUCCUUUGGCAAAUUAUGGGCUAUGAGACACAGCAUUCUUGCCUUUCCCUGAGGGGUCAAUUUCAGCGAUCCUACACAUUCCUUCUGAAGCACGUAUGCUCUUUCUAUAUGGUAUGUAAGCUCUCGGUCUGGGGAGUACCAGUGCAGAGAUCUACCUGUCUUGUUGCCACAUGUUUCUAAACUUUCCAAUAAAUCACCUUCUACUG